UAAGGGCGCACGGUGGAUGCCUUGGCACUAGAAGCCGAUGAAGGACGUUACUAACGACGAUAUGCUUUGGGGAGCUGUAAGUAAGCUUUGAUCCAGAGAUUUCCGAAUGGGGAAACCCAGCAUGAGUUAUGUCAUGUUAUCGAUAUGUGAAUACAUAGCAUAUCAGAAGGCACACCCGGAGAACUGAAACAUCUUAGUACCCGGAGGAAGAGAAAGAAAAUUCGAUUCCCUUAGUAGCGGCGAGCGAAACGGGAAGAGCCCAAACCAACAAGCUUGCUUGUUGGGGUUGUAGGACACUCUAUACGGAGUUACAAAGGACGACAUUAGACGAAUCAUCUGGAAAGAUGAAUCAAAGAAGGUAAUAAUCCUGUAGUCGAAAAUGUUGUCUCUCUUGAGUGGAUCCUGAGUACGACGGAGCACGUGAAAUUCCGUCGGAAUCUGGGAGGACCAUCUCCUAAGGCUAAAUACUCUCUAGUGACCGAUAGUGAACCAGUACCGUGAGGGAAAGGUGAAAAGCACCCCGGAAGGGGAGUGAAAUAGAACCUGAAACCGUGUGCUUACAAGUAGUCAGAGCCCGUUAAUGGGUGAUGGCGUGCCUUUUGUAGAAUGAACCGGCGAGUUACGAUUUGAUGCAAGGUUAAGCAGUAAAUGUGGAGCCGUAGCGAAAGCGAGUCUGAAUAGGGCGUUUAGUAUUUGGUCGUAGACCCGAAACCAGGUGAUCUACCCUUGGUCAGGUUGAAGUUCAGGUAACACUGAAUGGAGGACCGAACCGACUUACGUUGAAAAGUGAGCGGAUGAACUGAGGGUAGCGGAGAAAUUCCAAUCGAACCUGGAGAUAGCUGGUUCUCUCCGAAAUAGCUUUAGGGCUAGCCUCAAGUGAUGAUUAUUGGAGGUAGAGCACUGUUUGGACGAGGGGCCCCUCUCGGGUUACCGAAUUCAGACAAACUCCGAAUGCCAAUUAAUUUAACUUGGGAGUCAGAACAUGGGUGAUAAGGUCCGUGUUCGAAAGGGAAACAGCCCAGACCACCAGCUAAGGUCCCAAAAUAUAUGUUAAGUGGAAAAGGAUGUGGCGUUGCCCAGACAACUAGGAUGUUGGCUUAGAAGCAGCCAUCAUUUAAAGAGUGCGUAAUAGCUCACUAGUCGAGUGACACUGCGCCGAAAAUGU
rnacentral:rRNA from 1 species